rnacentral:rRNA from 1 species
UACGUAGGUGGCAAGCGUUGUCCGGAAUUAUUGGGCGUAAAGCGCGCGCAGGCGGUCCUUUAAGUCUGAUGUGAAAGCCCACGGCUCAACCGUGGAGGGUCAUUGGAAACUGGGGGACUUGAGUGCAGGAGAGAAGAGUGGAAUUCCACGUGUAGCGGUGAAAUGCGCAGAUAUCGGGAGGAACACCAGUGGCGAAGGCGAGUCCCUGGACAACACCUGACACUGAGGCACGAAAGCUAGGGGAGCAAACAGG